GAUGAACGCUGGCGGCGUGCCUAAUACAUGCAAGUCGAGCGAACAGACGAGGAGCUUGCUCCUCUGACGUUAGCGGCGGACGGGUGAGUAACACGUGGAUAACCUACCUAUAAGACUGGGAUAACUUCGGGAAACCGGAGCUAAUACCGGAUAAUAUAUUGAACCGCAUGGUUCAAUAGUGAAAGACGGUUUUGCUGUCACUUAUAGAUGGAUCCGCGCCGCAUUAGCUAGUUGGUAAGGUAACGGCUUACCAAGGCAACGAUGCGUAGCCGACCUGAGAGGGUGAUAGGCCACAUUGGAACUGAGACACGGUCCAGAGUCCUACGGGAGGCAGCAGUAGGGAAUCUUCCGCAAUGGGCGAAAGCCUGACGGAGCAACGCCGCGUGAGUGAUGAAGGUCUUCGGAUCGUAAAACUCUGUUAUUAGGGAAGAACAAAUGUGUAAGUAACUAUGCACGUCUUGACGGUACCUAAUCAGAAAGCCACGGCUAACUACGUG
rnacentral:rRNA from 1 species